rnacentral:rRNA from 1 species
CCUACGGGUGACUGCAGUGAGGAAUAUUGGUCAAUGGGCGCGAGCCUGAACCAGCCAAGUAGCGUGAAGGAUGACUGCCCUACGGGUUGUAAACUUCUUUUAUAAAGGAAUAAAGUGUGACACGUGUGCCUUUAUGUGUGUACGUUAUGUAUGAGGAUCGGCUAACUACGAGCCAGCAGCCGCGGUAAUACGGAGGAUCCAAGCGUUAUCCGGAUUUAUUGGGUUUAAAGGGAGAGUAGAUGGGUUGUUAAGGCAGUUGUGAACGUUUGCGGCUCAACCGUAAAAUUGCAAUUGAUACUGGAAGUCUUGAGUAAAGGUGAGGCAGGCGGAAUUCGUGGUGUAGCGGUGAAAUGCUGAGAUAUCACGAAGAACUCCGAUUGCGAAGGCAGCUUACUAAACUGCCACUGACAUUGAUGCUCGAAAGUGUGGGUAUCAAACAGGAUUAGAUACCCGGGUAGUC